rnacentral:rRNA from 1 species
GCCCAAGAGAUCGGGAUAACACCUGGAAACAGAUGCUAAUACCGGAUAACAACAGAUGAUGCCUAUCAACUGUUUAAAAGAUGGUUCUGCUAUCACUCUUGGAUGGACCUGCGGUGCAUUAGCUAGUUGGUAGGGUAACGGCCUACCAAGGCGAUGAUGCAUAGCCGAGUUGAGAGACUGAUCGGCCACAUUGGGACUGAGACACGGCCCAAACUCCUACGGGAGGCAGCAGAU